UCUAUGGCCAUACCACCCUGAACACACUCAAUCUCACCUGGUCUUGGAAGCUAAGUGAGGUCAGCCUGGUUAGUACUUGGAUGGGAAAAAGAUAUUCAGAGGAGGCUGCUCAAAGAGAAGCAGUUUGGAGACAAGGU
rnacentral:rRNA from 1 species